rnacentral:misc_RNA from 1 species
AGGCUCGUAGAAUUCAUUGAACUCAAUCAACUUCUUGGUGCUCAGCAUUUCAUAUUUUAUGAUUACCAUAUAUCAAAAAACGAAUCAAGAAAAAUCCUAGACUAUUAUCGGUCCGUUGGUUUAGUGACUGUGAUACCAUGGAACUUACCGCCGCAGAUCAAGGACAGCUCGAUCUGGUACCAUGGACAGUUAAUAGCUCACAACGACUGCUUGUACAGAGCCAUGAGCCUGUAUCAGGUAAUGGUGCUACAAGACAUUGACGAGUACAUUGUGCCACACACGGAGGACCUGACCUGGUCAGCUGCCCUGUCCCAUCUGUUCCAGGUGGGGGUGGUGGGGCUGAGCUUUCACAGUGCUUUCUUUGACCCAGGGGAUUCCAAAUCGGGGGACCUUAUAACCAUGUCCCAGUUUACAAGGACAAGCAUGUACAGUAGAGUCAGGACCAAGGUCAUGGUCGUUCCCGCCCAGGUCUUUGAGGUGGGAAUUCAUCACGUCAGUAAGCCACUCCUCGAGGACUCAACGAUAAAGACAGUGGACACAAACGUGGCCAAUCUACAUCAUUACCGCAAAUGUGUGAAGAAUUUCGGCAUGAAAUGUGACAAAAAUGUGGAGGACAAAACUAUGCUCAAAUAUGUGAAAUCUUUAAAUGAUAGAUUCAGAUACAUCAUGAAUUUCACUAUAUUAUGAUCACAACAGCAAAGCAUUAGGAAAAGAAUUCAGAUCAUAUUUUUUGAAGAAGUCAGAUUUAAUCUUAUUGAUUGGUUUUGUAAUGAUAUGUUGAGUUAGAUUCCUAUCAAAGACUUAACGUGGUUGUGCCAAGUUUGCGUUGCCAUUAUUAAUAUUUCUUUUAAAAUAAGUAUUGAAAGGUAUUGAUUAUGUGAUGAGAAAAGCCAGGCUACAGAUUAAAUUUUUUUUUCACUUUUGUUGCACAUUUCAAAACAUUUAUAAUUUAUUGUGGAUAACUUGUUUACUGGUAGUAUUGAGAUUGUAUGCAUGACUGAAUAAAAGCAUCCAUGUUAUGUGUCUAGCUAUUCAAUUUCACACCCAUGUACAAAGACAUUUUGAAAUAAAAAUUGGUAUUUUGUC